ACUCAAAUGAAUUGACGGGGGCCCGCACAAGCAGCGGAGCGUGUGGAUUAAUUCGAUGCAACGCGAAGAACCUCACCCAGGCUUGACAUGCACGUGGUAGGGACCCGAAAGGGAACCGACCCGCAAGGGAGCGUGCACAGGUGCUGCAUGGCUGUCGUCAGCUCGUGCCGUGAGGUGUUGGGUUAAGUCCCGCAACGAGCGCAACCCUCGUCCCUAGUUGCCUUUUCUAGGGAGACUGCCGGGCGAACCCCGGAGGAAGGUGGGGACGACGUCAAGUCCGCAUGGCCCUUACGCCUGGGGCCUCACACACGCUACAAUGGCCGGUACAGCGGGACGCCACUGCGCAAGCAGGCGCCAAUCCCCCAAACCCGGCCUCAGUACGAAUUCGCGGCUGCAACCCGCCGCGAUGAAGUCGGAGUUGCUAGUAACCGCGCGUCAGCACAGUGCGGUGAAUGCGUUCCCGGGCCUUGUACACACCGCCCGU
rnacentral:rRNA from 1 species